rnacentral:lncRNA from 1 species
GGUGCCUAAGGUACAAGACAAAGUCCCCUUUACUUUUCCCUCUGCUUUUCUGGAACCGCAGGAGUCUUUCACCUUAGCCACCAUAGCUGGGAAUGUGCUGGGUCACUCCUGAAGCCAGCACGUCUCAGAGUCUCACCCAAGGCCCACAGUGUACUACCUGGUUAUUGCUGCUAGUUAUUCAGGGCCCAAGGGCUCUUUAGUCAGCAGGUGAUGGAUCCUGCAAGUACUGGGCCCUUCUCUUCAAGGCAGCAGCUUCCCUUUUGGCCCAGGUGUGUCUAAAAAUGUCAUCUGGGAGUUAGGACCUGGAAUGGGGGCCUCAUGACUCUGCUCAGUGCCCUGUCCUACUGUGGCUGAGCUGGUAUCCAAGAUGCAAGACCAAGUCCUCUUUACCCGUUGCUCGCCAACCCUUAAGCAGAAGGAAGGAGUCACUUUCGUUGCUAGGAGCUGCACUGCCUGGGAUUGGAGAAGGGGUGGCACAAGCCCUCCCUUAGCCAUACCGGCUGGUAUCUCCCUAGGUCAAGUGCGACCCUAGUCCAUUGGCUGUAAGUCCAGCCCAGCACUGGGAGUUGUCUAGGAAUUCCAGUCCUUGUGUCCUAGACUGCCUUUCCUUUUUUGCCUUUUGUAGAGAUAUGGCCUCUUUAUGUUGCCCAGGCUGGUCUCAGACUCCUGGGCUCAAGUGUCCCUCCUGCCUCAGCUUCCCCAAGUGCUGGGAUUACAGGUGCGAGCCACCGUGUCCAGCCUAGACUGCCUUUCAAGUUUACCUAGGACACUAGAGCACUUUGGCCCACGGUGGUGAGGCUUGCCGAGAAACUCAAAUUCCAACCACUGGACAGGCGAUUUCCCUCUGGCUAGGGCUGGUCCAGAUGCUUCCUCCAUGUGCAGGUGCUGGCUGAGCCCAGCAUGGUUUGCUCUCUGCUAUGACAGGGCAGCAGUGAUUUCAAUGUAAAGUACCCCCACUCCUGUGCCCUCCCUCCCCAAAGUGCAAAGAUUCUCUUUCCAUGCUGCAGGGACACUGCCAGGGAGGACGGAAGGGGGCAUCACAAUUCAAGACUGUCUCUCCUGCCCUCCUCCAUGUCUCUUUUAGUGAUGCGAAGUUAAAUCCAGUUACUGUAAUUGCUCACCUGAUUUUUGGUUCUUGUGAUGAUGCUUUUCUGUGUGCAGAUAGUUGUUAAAAGUUAGUGUUCCGAGGCCGGGCGCGGUGGCUCACGCCUGUAAUCUCAGCACUUUGGGAGGCCGAGGUGGCGGAUCACGAGGUCAGGAGUUCAAGACUAGCCUGGCCAAUAUGGUGAAACCCUGUCUCUACUAAAAAUACCAAAGAAAUCAGCCAGGUGCGGUGGCGCGCCUGUAGUCUCAGCUACUGGGAAGGCUGAGGCAGGAGAAUCACCUGAACCUGGGAGGCGGAGGUUGCAGUGAGCCAAGAUCAUGCCCUUGCACUCCAGCCUGGGUGACAGAGUAAGACUCCAUCUCAAAAAAAAAAAA